rnacentral:rRNA from 1 species
UGCCACAGCCGUUCACCCUGCAGCCCAAGACCACUUACUCACUGAAGUUAAGCAGGGCUGAGGCUGGUCAAUACCUGGAUGGGAUGACACAUGGGAAAACAGGUUGCUGUUGGAA